GACGGGGCGAGCCUGUAGGGCGCGCCUGGCGGCGGCAUGGCGUCUCCAGCCCAGGUUUUAAAAUACCUUCUAAUGUAAGGAAAUAGCCCUGCACCUUGUGCCCAUCCUAGAGAGAAAAUGGUUUCUUAAUAAAAAAUGUAUGAGGCCUUUUUUGCCCCAAUAUCUUCCCAAGCAGAGGAAUGUGAAGGGGGGUUGGGCCAAGAAGUGAGUGGUAGGAAGAGAGGCCUACGGAUUUAAAACAGGCCACUGCUUGGAGGGGUGUCUUUCCUAAACCACUGAAGAAAUUGAACCAGGCAAAGGAAGGGGGUUCACACCCACAAAUAAACUAUAACCUACAAAAGGAGCCCGGGUUCACAUCCACAAAUAAAUUGUAACCUACACAAGGAGUCUGGUUGAGGUCACAAAACAAAAGCCAGGAGGCAACCAAAAGUAGAAUAUGAAAUAGGUGCUGCCUUCUCACCUAGGAAUCCUUCCAGGGCUAAAACCUUCAAAUAUUCUGCUUUUAAGGUAGUCAGAUACCCUCACAACUCAUUUACAUCAGCCCUUCUCUGUUUUCAAGUGAGAAGCAUAGAUGGUUUAGAAUUAAGCUAUGAACUCUUGGAUCUUUUCUUCCAAGUUUAGUGUUAGUGGUAGAUAGGUCUAGUCCAACUAUCUCAAUACAUUGUUUUCUCCCUAGUUAAAACAGAUUUGCAAGAAUCAUUUGUAUGACACUUUAGGAAUACAGAUAAAUUGCUAGUGCAAAUAAUAUCCUUAUAUUUAUAAAAUAUAUGUGUACUUUUAAAAAAGUUAUAUGAAUCCAAUCCUCUGGCCUUUUAGUUAGUAUUGAGUGUGAUAGUUGUGGGAGAUCUGUAGUAAAUACGGUUUCUGAAGGGUGUGCUAUCAUCCCUAAUGAACUCACCUAUUAAUUGUGGUAAAGAGUUUUUCACUUGGGCUGGGCACGGUGGCUCACGCCUGUAAUCCCAGCACUUUGGGAGGCCGAGGCAGGUGGGUCGACUGAGGUCAGGAGUUCCAGACCAGCCUAGCCAACAUGGUGAAACCCCGUCUGUACUAAAAAAAAAAAAAAGAAAAAAAAUAGCUGGGCAUGGUGGCAGGUGCCUGUAAUCCCAGCUACUUGGGAGGCUGAGGCAGGAGAAUCCCUUGAACCUGGGGAGGCGGAGGUUGCAGUGAGCCAAGAUCGUGCCAUUGCACUCCAGCCUGGGCAACAAGAGCAAAACUCCGUCUCAAAAAAAAAAAAAAAAAGAAAAAGAAAAAGAAAUGAAAAAAAAAGUUUCCCAACAUGUAUUAGCCGUUUUCAUGUUGUCUGUAUUCACCUUUGCGUCAUCACCCCUCUUCAAUUUCCUCCUGGAAUUCAAUCACAGUAAUGGGUUAUCUCAGCAUAUAUUAUUCGCCAGUCUCACAUCCUGACCUCAUUUAUUUACC
rnacentral:lncRNA from 1 species